rnacentral:rRNA from 1 species
UACGUAGGGCGCGAGCGUUGUCCGGAUUUAUUGGGCGUAAAGAGCUCGUAGGCGGCUCAUUGCGUCAACCGUGAAAACCCGCAGCUCAACUGUGGGCUUGCAGCUGAUACGGGCAGGCUUGAGUUCGGUAGGGGAGACUGGAAUUCCUGGUGUAGCGGUGAAAUGCGCAGAUAUCAGGAGGAACACCGGUGGCGAAGGCGGGUCUCUGGGGCCGAAUACUGACGCUGGAGGAGCGAAAGCCGUGGGGAGCGAACAGG